GUGAACUGUAGCAAGCUUGCAAUCAUCACAGCACCACAGCGAUAACGCGUAUAGGUAUUGACGUCACAAUGAAAUCCCUGGUCGCCAUGUUAUGCUUAAUGUUAUUGAUAUCCGUUAUAUUAUUGGAACCAUGUGAAGCUGCCGCUAGAGGUCAUGGGAAUGUUCAACAUUCGAAAAAUCACGUGAAGACUCCAAGACGUGAUCCUUUCCACAAAAGGCGUAUUACAGAAAAUUCACGACCACAUUUUUGAUAUCCAUUGGCAUGACAGUGGAGGGUGAAGGUGAACCGUCUGGCGUUUUGGUAGUACAAUAAUAAAUAAUAUACAUCAAAGAGAUCCAUA